UACGUAGGGGGCAAGCGUUGUCCGGAAUCAUUGGGCGUAAAGAGCGUGUAGGCGGCUUGGUAAGUCUGCUGUGAAAGUCCAGGGCUCAACCCUGGGAUGCCGGUGGAUACUGUCAAGCUCGAGUCCGGAAGAGGCGAGUGGAAUUCCUGGUGUAGCGGUGAAAUGCGCGGAUAUCAGGAGGAACACCAAUGGCGAAGGCAGCUCGCUGGGACGUGACUGACGCUGAGACGCGAAAGCGUGGGGAGCAAACAGG
rnacentral:rRNA from 1 species